GACGAACGCUGGCGGCGUGCUUAACACAUGCAAGUCGAACGGAAAGGCCCCUUUGGGGGUACUCGAGUGGCGAACGGGUGAGUAACACGUGAGUAACCUGCCCUUGACUUCGGGAUAACUUCAGGAAACUGGGGCUAAUACCGGAUAGGAAUCCUUGCUGCAUGGUGGGGGUUGGAAAGCUUCGGCGGUUUUGGAUGGACUCGCGGCUUAUCAGCUUGUUGGUGGGGUAGUGGCUUACCAAGGCUUUGACGGGUAGCAGGCCUGAGAGGGCGACCGGCCACAUUGGGACUGAGAUACGGCCCAGACUCCUACGGGAGGCAGCAGUGGGGAAUAUUGCACAAUGGGCGGAAGCCUGAUGCAGCAACGCCGCGUGCGGGAUGACGGCCUUCGGGUUGUAAACCGCUUUCAGCAGGGGCGAAGCUUGUGGUGACGGUACCUGCAGAAGAAGCACCGGCUAACUACGUG
rnacentral:rRNA from 1 species